GUCCAGGGUAGCCUAGUGGUCAUGGCAUCUGCCCGGUAAGCGGAAGGUCGUGGGUUCGAUCCCCAUUCCUUGACA
rnacentral:tRNA from 1 species